AACGAGGCCGACCUGCGGCUGAGUUACCUGCGGAAGGAUCAUUACCGAGUUUACAACUCCCAAACCCCUGUGAACAUACCUAUACGUUGCCUCGGCGGAUCAGCCCGCGCCCUGUAAAAAGGGACGGCCCGCCCGAGGACCCUAAACUCUGUUUUUAGUGGAACUUCUGAGUAAAACAAACAAAUAAAUCAAAACUUUCAACAAUGGAUCU
rnacentral:misc_RNA from 1 species